AUUGAACGCUGGCGGCAGGCCUAACACAUGCAAGUCGAGCGAGCGGCGGACGGGUGAGUAAUGUCUGGGAAACUGCCUGAUGGAGGGGGAUAACUACUGGAAACGGUAGCUAAUACCGCAUACCAUCAGAUGUACCCAGAUGGGAUUAGCUAGUAGGUGGGGUAAUGGCUCACCUAGGCGACGAUCCCUAGCUGGUCUGAGAGGAUGAUCAGCCACACCGGCACUGAGACACGGCCCAGAAGCCUACGGGAGGCAGCAGUGGGGAAUAUUGCACAAUGGGCGCAAGCCUGAUGCAGCCAUGCCGCGUGUGUGAAGAAGGCCUUCGGGUUGUAAAGCACUUUCAGCCGGGAGGCGUUACCUACAGAAGAAGCACCGGCUAACUCCGUGCCAGCAGCCGCGGUAAUAC
rnacentral:rRNA from 1 species